UGAUUAUGGCUCAGAAUGAACGCUGGCGGCGUGGUUAAUACAUGCAAGUCGAACGGGAUAAACUGUGUAGCAAUACUUAUUUUGUUUACUGGCGAACGGGUGCGUAACACGUGAACUAUCUUUCAUUGGGUGUGGAAUAUCUCGCCGAAAGGCGAAUUAAUACCGCAUGUGGUUGUUUCCCGCAUGGGAAGCAUACUAAAGUCAGGGACCGCAAGGCCUGACGCUAAAUGAGGAGUUCGCGGCCUAUCACCUAUUUGGCGAGGUAACGGCUCAACGGGGCUAAAACGGGUAACUGAUCUGACAGGAUGAUCAACCACACUGGAACUGAUACACGGUCCAGACACCUACAGGUGGCAACAAUUUCGAAUCAUUCACAAUGGGCGAAAGCCUGAUGGUGCUACGCCCCUUGAGGUAUGAAGGUCUUCUGAUUGUAAACCUCUGUCACUGGGGAGAAAACGCUUUAAGUUAAUAUUUCAAAGCCUGAUUUAACCCUUAGAGGAAGCAGUGGCUAACUCUGUGCCGACACCCGCGUUAAUACAGAUACUGCAAGCGUUAUUCUGAUUCACUGGACGUAUAGGGUGCUCAUGCAGCCGUGUGUGUUAGGUGUGAAAUCGCGGGGCUCACUGUCAGAACUGCGCAUUAAACUACAUGGCUAGAGUAUUGGAGAGGGUAGUGGAUGUCACGGUGUAACACUGAAAUGCGUAUUAUAUCGUGAGGAACACCAGAUGCGAAUGCCACUACCUGCGACAAUUACUGACGCUCAAGCACGAAUACGUGCGGAGCAAAACGGAUUACAUACCCCAUGUAGUCCACGCCCUAGACGGUGCACUACUAAGUCUU
rnacentral:rRNA from 1 species